GCAGGUUUAAUAAAAUAGACGGUAACAUUUAGCAUAGCUGGUUGCGGUCUCACAGAGGUGUGGAAGGAAUUUGUUAGAUGUGUAAUCACUGUGACUCACUGUCAAGACAAAAGUUUCAGACAUUUAAGGCUUUCAAUGUUAGAAAAGCACAGAGAUCUUUUUUGGCACUGGUUCAGGGAUUCGGAGAUUUACAAUGGAUGGUGUAUAUGGAGAAAGAUAAUGUCUGUUGAGAAAUGAGCUGGUGAGAACUCCGGGUGUCACAGGACCCAGGCCAUCUGCACAAUCUCUCAGAGGAAGACAGUCUCUCAGACGCUCAGUUCUCUGGCACACACAGUGACAGCUGGCUAAGGACAGCUGUGUGAAGAAGAGGGCCCAGGAGAGCAGUGAGAAGUAUGCAGAACAAGAACUCCAGCACAGAUCAGAGGGAUGCUCUCAUGAGAACUCUGCCCAUCAGCAGGCUGGCAUAUGAGAGAAUAUUCAGAAGAGAAAGAGGAAGACGAGGGAAAUGAUUUGAAGAGCAGACGGUGUGAAGGGCAGACGGCAGCUUGAAGUAUCCCCAUUAGACAAUCCCACAUAGUGUGAGCUCAGUUCUGCUACUGAUGCUGUAACGGAGAGCUGAGUGCCACACACUAAAAAUGAGGAAAAUGACACCACAGACACAGGCCAAAUCAUCCAAGGCAUGCUCAUACUCAUUAUCACUAAGGUGUUGUAUUUCUUGAUUUGGAAGCUCCAAGAAAUAUGCAGACAUAUAGCCAUAUCAUCAAGACUACACUGGAGUGAAUUGCAGUGAUUUAAAAUGUGAGAUUCUGAUUUUAGAAUUCACUCAAUUUCCUUAUUUAAAUUCAGUGUCCCUGAAUUGCUUAUGAAGUGAACAACAUGAAGAAUGCCUGUUUAUAAAUGCCAUUUUAAGGAAAAUCAAUAACCAUUAUACGGUUUCUGCUAUCCUUGGCUCUCUGAGAUGAUAUGAAUCUAUUCAUAUAGCAGGUGUUGUGUGAAUCUAAACCUCUGGGGAGGGGAUUAAAUAAAAAAAAUUUCCGAAUCUGAACCAAAUAAGAGAAAAUGAUAUCACUUCUACAAUACAGAAGCCUUUUAUAACACUACUUCCCCAUCAUUUCUUCAGUUUGGCUGUAAGUUGGGUACUACCUAUAGACAAUGAUCUUAUAACAUCCACUGAAUGCAUUACAAGCAGUAAAGCCCAUGUUAUGUGCUACACACAGCACCAAAUUAGAAAGGUGUAAUUUCUGAUGUCUUGGAGGGUGGGCUACAGUGGGGCACAGAGACAAACAGGAGCACAAACAUGUAGACUCGCUGAAGCAAGCAGGAAAACAAGAGGCUUCGUGGGUCACAGUCUCUAGAAGAUCAGACUAAUAAAAGGAAUACAGUUAAAGGGGAUUUGAUGGGUUAUCUUGCUCGGUGUGGUCUGAAUAAGUCAACCAGGGCUAGCUUACACCAGGGAAGCCAGG
rnacentral:lncRNA from 1 species